rnacentral:rRNA from 1 species
AUUGAACGCUGGCGGCAUGCCUUACACAUGCAAGUCGAACGGCAGCACGGGAGCAAUCCUGGUGGCGAGUGGCGAACGGGUGAGUAAAGUAUCGGAACGUGCCCAGUCGUGGGGGAUAACGUAGCGAAAGUUACGCUAAUACCGCAUACGAUCUAUGGAUGAAAGCGGGGGAUCGCAAGACCUCGCGCGAUUGGAGCGGCCGAUAUCAGAUUAGGUAGUUGGUGGGGUAAAGGCUCACCAAGCCGACGAUCUGUAGCUGGUCUGAGAGGACGAACGUCCACACUGGGACAGAGAAACGGACCAGACUCUUACGAGGGGCAGCAGUGGGGAAUUUUAGACAAUGGGCGAAAGCCUGAUCCAGCCAUGCCGCGUGCAGGAUGAAGGCCUUCGGGUUGUAACCUGCUUUUGUACGGAACGAAAAGGUUUGGCCUAAUAAGCUGAGCUCAUGACGGUACCGUAAGAAUAAGCACCGGCUAACUACGUGCCAGCCGCCGCCGUAA